rnacentral:rRNA from 1 species
GAUGAACGCUAGCUACAGGCUUAACACAUGCAAGUCGAGGGGAAACGACAUCGAAAGCUUGCUUUUGAUGGGCGUCGACCGGCGCACGGGUGAGUAACGCGUAUCCAACCUGCCCAUCACUUGGGAAUAACCUUGCGAAAGUAAGACUAAUACCCAAUGAUAUCCCACGAAGGCAUCGGAAUGGGAUUAAAGAUUUAUCGGUGAUGGAUGGGGAUGCGUCUGAUUAGCUUGUUGGCGGGGUAACGGCCCACCAAGGCAACGAUCAGUAGGGGUUCUGGGAGGAAGGUCCCCCACAUUGGAACUGAGACACGGUCCAAACUCCUACGGGAGGCAGCAGUGAGGAAUAUUGGUCAAUGGGCGAGAGCCUGAACCAGCCAAGUAGCGUGCAGGAAGACGGCCCUAUGGGUUGUAAACUGCUUUUAUAAGGGAAUAAAGUGGGUCACGUGUGACUUUUUGCAUGUACCUUAUGAAUAAGAACCGGCUAAUUCCGUG